rnacentral:rRNA from 1 species
CCCCUAGAUGUUCUGGGCCGCACGCGCGCUACACUGAACAGUUCAACAAGUCUUAACCUUGGCCGAUAGGUCUGGGUAAUCUUUGAACGCUGUUCGUGAUUGGGAUAGACCUUUGCAAUUAUGGGUCUUCAACGAGGAAUACCUAGUAAACGCAAGUCAUCAGCUUGCAUUGAUUACGUCCCUGCCCUUUGUACACACCGCCCGUCGCACCUACCGAUUGAAUGGUCCGGUGAAAUCUCGGGACGGCGGCUUGGUCGCUUGCGUCCGACUGCUGAAACUUGAUUAAACCAUAUCAUUUAGAGGAAGGUGAAGUCGUAACA